rnacentral:rRNA from 1 species
CAAGAGCGUAUAUUAAAGUUGUUGCAGUUAAAAGCUCGUAGUUGGAUUUCUGGUACAACGCGCCUGGCCCGCUUUUGUGAGUGCCGGUGCGCGUUUGCCAUCCUUCUAGAAAACGUUCUCCGUACUGCGGGCAACUGGCCGGAUUCGCGAUCUAGAUCUUUACUUGAAAAAUUAGAGUGUUUAAAGCAGGCUUAUUGCCUUGAAUACAUUAGCAUGGAAUAAUAAUCUAGGACUUCGGUUCUAUUUUGUUGGUUCUUAGUACUGAAGUAAUGAUUGAUAGGGAUAGUUGGGGGUGCUAGUAUUGGCCGGCCAGAGGUGAAAUUCUUGGAUUCGGUCAAGACUAACUUAUGCGAAAGCAUUCACCAAGGAUGUCUUCUUUAAUCAAGAACGAAAGUUGGGGGAUCGAAGACGAUCAGAUACCA